AGACAGUAUUCGCAAAUAAGUUACCCCAAGAGGUGCAUUCAUCUACUCCACGUCACAAAACUCUGGAUAAAUUUUCGGAUGUCUUAAAUAAAUUACACAAUCCUGUUUGGAAUGCAGCUAACGAUAUUAAGCAAGAGGGAAUAUUGCCUUAUCAAAUAGUAUAUACUUGUGAGGUAAAGGGACCUGAGUAUGACAAAUUCAAUGAAGAUUUUGAUACCGGAAAGAACCAAUGCAACCAGUGUUAUGAUGAAGCCCAGAAAACUAAGAAUAUGAAGGAUGCGGAAAAUUGCUGCGAUGAAAUUAUUGUUCAUUUAGAAAAACGGACAAAAUUAUUUCUUGAUAGGGCUUUGGCAUGCACUAACAAAUGCGC